rnacentral:rRNA from 1 species
AAUGAACGCUGGCGGCAUGCCUAACACAUGCAAGUCGAACGGCAGCACGGGCAUCGUGCUCGCCUCGCGUUGGCGACGGGCGGGUGAUUAAUCCGUACAUGCCCAACCUAUAGGGCUGGGUCGGCUACGGCCGGCUUGAUACCAUAUCCGACCAUAUGUUGAACGGGGGGGAUCAUUGGACCUAGCGGUCUUUGCUGUGCCGAUGCCGGAUUAGCUAGUUGGUUGGGUAAAGGGCUACCAAGGCGACGAUCCGUAGCUGGUCUGAGAGGACGACCUGCCACACUGGAACUGAGACACGGUCCAGACUCCUACGGGAGGCAGCAGUGGGGAAUUUUGGACAAUGGGCGAAAGCCUGAUCCAGCAAUGCCGCGUGUGUGAUGAAGGCCUUCGGGUUGUAAAGCACUUUUGUUGGGAAAGAAAAGCAGUGUGCUAAUACCUCGGUGUGUUGACGGUACCCAAAGAAUAAGCACCGGCUAACUACGUG